rnacentral:rRNA from 1 species
GAUGAACGCUAGCUACAGGCUUAACACAUGCAAGUCGAGGGGUAACAAGAGAAAAGCUUGCUUUUCUUGUUGACGACCGGCGCACGGGUGAGUAACGCGUAUCCAACCUGCCUAUAACUAGGGAAUAACCUUGCGAAAGUAAGACUAAUACCCUAUGAUUUCCUUUGAUGACAUCAGAUUAGGAAUAAAGAUUUAUCGGUUAUAGAUGGGGAUGCGUCUGAUUAGCUUGUUGGCGGGGUAACGGCCCACCAAGGCAACGAUCAGUAGGGGUUCUGAGAGGAAGGUCCCCCACAUUGGAACUGAGACACGGUCCAAACUCCUACGGGAGGCAGCAGUGAGGAAUAUUGGUCAAUGGGCGGAAGCCUGAACCAGCCAAGUAGCGUGCAGGAUGACGGCCCUAUGGGUUGUAAACUGCUUUUAUACAGGAAUAAAGUUAGCCACGUGUGGUUAUUUGUAGGUACUGUAUGAAUAAGGACCGGCUAAUUCCGUGCCAGCAGCCGCCGUAAGAC